rnacentral:rRNA from 1 species
GUGGGGAAUCUUCCGCAAUGGACGAAAGUCUGACGGAGCAACGCCGCGUGAGUGAUGAAGGUCUUCGGAUUGUAAAGCUCUGUUAAUCGGGACGAAAGAGCCUAGUGUGAAUAAUGCUAGGAAGUGACGGUACCGGAAUAGAAAGCCACGGCUAACUACGUGCCAGCAGCCGCGGUAAUACGUAGGUGGCAAGCGUUGUCCGGAAUUAUUGGGCGUAAAGCGCGCGCAGGCGGAUCUGCCAGUCUGUCUUAAAAGUUCGGGGCUUAACCCCGUGAUGGGAUGGAAACUACAGAUCUAGAGUAUCGGAGAGGAAAGUGGAAUUCCUAGUGUAGCGGUGAAAUGCGUAGAUAUUAGGAAGAACACCAGUGGCGAAGGCGACUUUCUGGACGAAAACGGACGCUGAGGCGCGAAAGCCAGGGGAGCGAACGGGAUUAGAAACCCUGGUAGUCC